rnacentral:rRNA from 1 species
GUCCACGCCCUAAACGAUGUCAACUAGUUGUCGGGUCUUAAUUGACUUGGUAACGCAGCUAACGCGUGAAGUUGACCGCCUGGGGAGUACGGUCGCAAGAUUAAAACUCAAAGGAAUUGACGGGGACCCGCACAAGCGGUGGAUGAUGUGGAUUAAUUCGAUGCAACGCGAAAACCUUACCUACCCUUGACAUGGUCGGAAUCCCGAAGAGAUUUGGGAGUGCUCGAAAGAGAACCGGCGCACAGGUGCUGCAUGGCUGUCGU